rnacentral:rRNA from 1 species
UACGGGGGGAGCAAGCGUUGUUCGGAAUUACUGGGCGUAAAGCGCGCGUAGGCGGACCUGCAAGUCGGGGGUGAAAGCCCGAGGCUCAACCUCGGAACUGCCUUCGAUACUGCGGGUCUCGAGUCCGGGAGAGGUGAGUGGAAUUCCUAGUGUAGAGGUGAAAUGCGUAGAUAUCGAGAGGAACACCUGCGGCGAAGGCGGGUUGCUGGGCUGAUACUGACGCUGAGGCGCGAAAGCCAGGGGAGCGAACGGG